UUUGCCUACGGGGGGCAGCAGUGAGGAAUAUUGGUCAAUGGGCGAGAGCCUGAACCAGCCAAGUCGCGUGAGGGAAGACGGUCCUAUGGAUUGUAAACCUCUUUUGCCGGGGAGCAAAAAGCGGUACGUGUACCGCAUCGAGAGUACCCGGAGAAAAAGCAUCGGCUAACUCCGUGCCAGCAGCCGCGGUAAUACGGAGGAUGCGAGCGUUAUCCGGAUUUAUUGGGUUUAAAGGGUGCGUAGGCGGGCUUUUAAGUCAGCGGUAAAAAUUCGGGGCUCAACCCCGUCCGGCCGUUGAAACUGGG
rnacentral:rRNA from 1 species